rnacentral:rRNA from 1 species
CUACGGGAGGCAGCAGUGGGGAAUAUUGCACAAUGGGCGAAAGCCUGAUGCAGCGACGCCGCGUGAGGGAUGACGGCCUUCGGGUUGUAAACCUCUUUCAGCAGGGACGAAGCGCAAGUGACGGUACCUGCAGAAGAAGCACCGGCUAACUACGUGCCAGCAGCCGCGGUAAUACGUAGGGUGCAAGCGUUGUCCGGAAUUACUGGGCGUAAAGAGUUCGUAGGCGGUUUGUCGCGUCGUUUGUGAAAACCAGCAGCUCAACUGCUGGCUUGCAGGCGAUACGGGCAGACUUGAGUACUGCAGGGGAGACUGGAAUUCCUGGUGUAGCGGUGAAAUGCGCAGAUAUCAGGAGGAACACCGGUGGCGAAGGCGGGUCUCUGGGCAGUAACUGACGCUGAGGAACGAAAGCGUGGGUAGCGAACAGGAUUAGAUACCCUGGUAGUCCACGCCGUAAACGGUGGGCGCUAGGUGCGGGUUCCUUCCACGGAAUCCGUGCCGUAGCUAACGCAUUAAGCGCCCCGCCUGGGGAGUACGGCCGCAAGGCUAAAACUCAAAGGAAUUGACGGA